rnacentral:tRNA from 1 species
GUCCGAGUGGCGAAAUGGCAGACGCACGGGACUUAAAAUCCCGAGACUCGAAAGGGUCGUGUGGGUUCGAGUCCCACCUUGGACA